rnacentral:rRNA from 1 species
AUUGAACGCUGGCGGAAUGCUUUACACAUGCAAGUCGAACGAUGAAGUCUGGCUUGCUAGACGGAUUAGUGGCGAACGGGUGAGUAAUAUAUCGGAACGUAUCCAUUAAUGGGGGAUAACUAGUCGAAAGAUUGGCUAAUACCGCAUACGUCCUACGGGAGAAAGCUGGGGAUCGUAAGACCUGGCGUUAAUGGAGCGGCCGAUAUCUGAUUAGCUAGUUGGUGAGGUAAAGGCUCACCAAGGCGACGAUCAGUAGCUGGUCUGAGAGGACGACAAGCAACACUAGAACUGAGACACGGUCCAGACUCCGACGGGAGGCAGAAGUGGGGAAUUUUGGACAAUGGGCGAAAGCCUGAUCCAGCCAUUCCGCGUGAGUGAAGAAGGCCUUCGGGUUGUAAAGCUCUUUCGCAAGGGAAGAAAACUUAUCCUCUAACAUAGGGUGAGGUUGACGGUACCUUGAUAAGAGGCACCGGCUAACUACGUGCCAGCCGCCGCUGUAA